ACGUAGGGUGCAAGCGUUAAUCGGAAUUACUGGGCGUAAAGCGUGCGCAGGCGGUUAUAUAAGACAGAUGUGGAAUCCCCGGGCUCAACCUGGGAACUGCAUUUGUGACUGUAUAGCUAGAGUACGGUAGAGGGGGAUGGAAUUCCGCGUGUAGCAGUGAAAUGCGUAGAUAUGCGGAGGAACACCGAUGGCGAAGGCAAUCCCCUGGACCUGUACUGACGCUCAUGCACGAAAGCGUGGGGAGCAAACAGGAUUAGAUACCCUGGUAGUCCACGCCCUAAACGAUGUCAACUGGUUGUUGGGUCUUCACUGACUCAGUAACGAAGCUAACGCGUGAAGUUGACCGCCUGGGGAGUACGGCCGCAAGGUUG
rnacentral:rRNA from 1 species